rnacentral:rRNA from 1 species
UACGUAGGGUGCAAGCGUUGUCCGGAAUUAUUGGGCGUAAAGAGCUCGUAGGUGGUUUGUCGCGUUGUUCGUGAAAACUCACAACUCAAUUGUGGGCGUGCGGGCGAUACGGGGCAGACUGGAGUACUGCAGGGGAGACUGGAAUUCCUGGUGUAGCGGUGGAAUGCGCAGAUAUCAGGAGGAACACCGGUGGCGAAGGCGGGUCUCUGGGCCGGACCUGACGCUGAGACGCGAAGGCGUGGGGAGCGAACGGG